CCCUUAGAUGUUCUGGGCUGCACGCGCGCUACACUGAUGCGCUCAACGAGUUUUAACCUUGCCUGGAAAGGUUGGGUAAUCUUUUUAAAACGCAUCGUGAUGGGGAUAGAUUAUUGCAAUUAUUAAUCUUCAACGAGGAAUUCCUAGUAAGCGCAAGUCAUCAGCUUGCAUUGAUUACGUCCCUGCCCUUUGUACACACCGCCCGUCGCUCCUACCGAUUGAAUGAUCCGAUGAAUAUCAUGGAUUGAGGAUGCAAGUAGGUUAGCCUAUCUUCAUCUUCGAGAAGUGAAGUAAAUCUUAUCAUUUAGAGGAAGGAGAAGUCGUAACA
rnacentral:rRNA from 1 species